CCAGAUAUUAUUUAAUAUUGCUUAGCAUAAUUUUCUAAAUGGAGGAUUUUGUGUCUAAACUCAGAAAUGUGUGGAGACUCAUCACUGGUAGUGAUCUCACUGAAACAAAGACUCAACAUUCACGUGUUUCUGCAGAAGGAGCGACGCACAGACUUCAUUCAUAAGUAAAAUGGGGGGGUCUGAUGAAACUACAGGGAUGAGCUCAUCCUGCUGCUGUCCUACGUGACUUCAUCCCGCCGCAGUUCCCUCUCUCUGCACUGGGGGGCAGCAGCGCGCCGGUCAGCGGGACGGCUUUAUCUCCGGCACACAGGAGCAAACAAACACACUCAGGUGUUUGCUGCACACGUCCACCUGCAUGCAGGUGUAGGUGUUCUGCUGUCUGAGGCUGAACGCCUGAUGACGGCGCUGCGGGCCAGCCGCUAACAUGGAACUGGGAGAUUAGGUUGAACGCUCACGGUCUCACGCCAACAGAAACCGACCGAGGGAGGGGGGCAAAAGGAGAGAAACAGAAGAACUCCUUCCAUCAUGAAGAGGCAUGAGCGCUGCAUUCUAAGAUGAUCCUCCCGCCGUCAUGAAAUUUCCCCCCAGCCAAAACAGACACCUCCACCCAUGAGGGGGUUACCCCCCCCCAUACACACAACUGCAGCAUCGAAGGAUGCAGACUUUCAUUACACCCCACCCCCAAAACGCAUAGCUUGAAUCAAUGACCCCCCCCAACCAUUAGCUUAGCAUAUUAUUGGCUCUUCUCCGGGCUCUGGGGUGAAGGGCACCGGGGGCCCCUGUUUAGCUUUAUUUAUGCAAGCAGCUUAAUUACACGGCGCCACUGCUGCACACAACGGGUCCCGGCACGCACGGCUGUGUGCCGCCAUGUUGGGAGGAGAGGGGGGAGGAGGAAACACUAUAAUAAGACACACUUGCUGCAAUUAAGCUAUUUACACAGCAACAAUGGAGGACCCCCCCCCACCACCACCACCACCAGCAAGACUUAAGACCAGAAGAGGAUGUAAGGGGAGAGGGGGGGCGGCAUCUCUUUCAUGGUCCAGAACCAAACAGAACCCGUUUCACGCUCGCUGAAUCCUGACUUUACAGCAGCAGACCCUAUGGCAAGCCAAAGGGGUCAGUAAUCACCAGGAACAGCGCGGUAAAAAUGCUGUAUUGGCCAUGAAAAACGCUGCUUUCAGUGCAUGUUUUAAAAGUAACACGUAAAAUACAGUCUUGUGUGGCCCCAAAACGGGCACAAAAAGCGGCGUUUUUUCGCGUAUGACCUUGGGUCAAGAUAAUACAAUCAAGAUAAUACUGUUGCUAAAAGUCAUCAAAAGAAAAUUAAAACAUGAAUAAGCUGCAGAAUAUUGCCGCUUCUACACAUGCGGAAAAAAGUUAAUGUCUCAAGGCUGUAGCCACUGUAUUCACGCAAAACGGCGUAUUUGACGCAAGUAUGUGACACAACAGACAGACGGUUUAUACGUGGGACACCACAAGACGCCAUCAUUUAUGUGCUACUUUUAAAACGUCUGCCAAAAGCGGCGUUUUUCAUGGCCAAUACGCAGUUUUUUACUGCGGUUUUCCUGGUGAUUUUUGACCCCUUUGGCUUGCCACACAGCUUGUCACUUCCUGUUCUCAUACAGGUAUCAAAAAACUGUAGCAGAAACUGAUACCUUCACUGUGUGAACAUGCAGAGUGCAGGAAGACACCAGAGACGUCGCCGGCUACACCUACGUGACAUACAUCACAUGCGCUCAAUGAACUACCAUAACUCUUCAGCUAAAUCAGCUGAUUCUGACGCGGAGAAAACUUGGCUUUUAUCGUGGCUGACGAAGCUAACGCUUCUAUCUUGACUAACACAGCAACACUUUUAAUGUGGCUAACACUUCUAACACGGCUAAUGCUUCUAACGUAGCUUUUGCAGCUAACAUUUCUAUUGUGGCUAACUCAGCUAACUCUUCUAAGGUGGCUUUUGGAGCUAAAGCUCUUAAUGUGGCUAAUGCUUCUAUCGUUGCUAACGCAGCUAAUGCUUCUAAUGUGGCUAACGCAGCUAAUGCUUCUAAUGUGGCUAACAAAGCUAAUGCUUCUAUCUUGGCUA